UUAAGCGACUAAGCGUACACGGUGGAUGCCCUGGCAGUCAGAGGCGAUGAAGGACGUGCUAAUCUGCGAUAAGCGUCGGUAAGGUGAUAUGAACCGUUAUAACCGGCGAUUUCCGAAUGGGGAAACCCAGUGUGUUUCGACACACUAUCAUUAACUGAAUCCAUAGGUUAAUGAGGCGAACCGGGGGAACUGAAACAUCUAAGUACCCCGAGGAAAAGAAAUCAACCGAGAUUCCCCCAGUAGCGGCGAGCGAACGGGGAGCAGCCCAGAGCCUGAAUCAGUGUGUGUGUUAGUGGAAGCGUCUGGAAAGGCGUGCGAUACAGGGUGACAGCCCCGUACACAAAAAUGCACAUACUGUGAGCUCGAUGAGUAGGGCGGGACACGUGGUAUCCUGUCUGAAUAUGGGGGGACCAUCCUCCAAGGCUAAAUACUCCUGACUGACCGAUAGUGAACCAGUACCGUGAGGGAAAGGCGAAAAGAACCCCGGCGAGGGGAGUGAAAAAGAACCUGAAACCGUGUACGUACAAGCAGUGGGAGCCUCUUUAUGGGGUGACUGCGUACCUUUUGUAUAAUGGGUCAGCGACUUAUAUUCUGUAGCAAGGUUAACCGAAUAGGGGAGCCGAAGGGAAACCGAGUCUUAACUGGGCGUUAAGUUGCAGGGUAUAGACCCGAAACCCGGUGAUCUAGCCAUGGGCAGGUUGAAGGUUGGGUAACACUAACUGGAGGACCGAACCGACUAAUGUUGAAAAAUUAGCGGAUGACUUGUGGCUGGGGGUGAAAGGCCAAUCAAACCGGGAGAUAGCUGGUUCUCCCCGAAAGCUAUUUAGGUAGCGCCUCGUGAAUUCAUCUCCGGGGGUAGAGCACUGUUUCGGCAAGGGGGUCAUCCCGACUUACCAACCCGAUGCAAACUGCGAAUACCGGAGAAUGUUAUCACGGGAGACACACGGCGGGUGCUAACGUCCGUCGUGAAGAGGGAAACAACCCAGACCGCCAGCUAAGGUCCCAAAGUCAUGGUUAAGUGGGAAACGAUGUGGGAAGGCCCAGACAGCCAGGAUGUUGGCUUAGAAGCAGCCAUCAUUUAAAGAAAGCGUAAUAGCUCACUGGUCGAGUCGGCCUGCGCGGAAGAUGUAACGGGGCUAAACCAUGCACCGAAGCUGCGGCAGCGACACUAUGUGUUGUUGGGUAGGGGAGCGUUCUGUAAGCCUGUGAAGGUGGCCUGUGAGGGUUGCUGGAGGUAUCAGAAGUGCGAAUGCUGACAUAAGUAACGAUAAAGCGGGUGAAAAGCCCGCUCGCCGGAAGACCAAGGGUUCCUGUCCAACGUUAAUCGGGGCAGGGUGAGUCGACCCCUAAGGCGAGGCCGAAAGGCGUAGUCGAUGGGAAACAGGUUAAUAUUCCUGUACUUGGUGUUACUGCGAAGGGGGGACGGAGAAGGCUAUGUUGGCCGGGCGACGGUUGUCCCGGUUUAAGCGUGUAGGCUGGUUUUCCAGGCAAAUCCGGAAAAUCAAGGCUGAGGCGUGAUGACGAGGCACUACGGUGCUGAAGCAACAAAUGCCCUGCUUCCAGGAAAAGCCUCUAAGCAUCAGGUAACAUCAAAUCGUACCCCAAACCGACACAGGUGGUCAGGUAGAGAAUACCAAGGCGCUUGAGAGAACUCGGGUGAAGGAACUAGGCAAAAUGGUGCCGUAACUUCGGGAGAAGGCACGCUGAUGCGUAGGUGAAGCGACUUGCUCGUGGAGCUGAAAUCAGUCGAAGAUACCAGCUGGCUGCAACUGUUUAUUAAAAACACAGCACUGUGCAAACACGAAAGUGGACGUAUACGGUGUGACGCCUGCCCGGUGCCGGAAGGUUAAUUGAUGGGGUCAGCCGCAAGGCGAAGCUCUUGAUCGAAGCCCCGGUAAACGGCGGCCGUAACUAUAACGGUCCUAAGGUAGCGAAAUUCCUUGUCGGGUAAGUUCCGACCUGCACGAAUGGCGUAAUGAUGGCCAGGCUGUCUCCACCCGAGACUCAGUGAAAUUGAACUCGCUGUGAAGAUGCAGUGUACCCGCGGCAAGACGGAAAGACCCCGUGAACCUUUACUAUAGCUUGACACUGAACAUUGAGCCUUGAUGUGUAGGAUAGGUGGGAGGCUUUGAAGCGUGGACGCCAGUCUGCGUGGAGCCGACCUUGAAAUACCACCCUUUAAUGUUUGAUGUUCUAACGUGGACCCGUGAUCCGGGUUGCGGACAGUGUCUGGUGGGUAGUUUGACUGGGGCGGUCUCCUCCUAAAGAGUAACGGAGGAGCACGAAGGUUGGCUAAUCCUGGUCGGACAUCAGGAGGUUAGUGCAAUGGCAUAAGCCAGCUUGACUGCGAGCGUGACGGCGCGAGCAGGUGCGAAAGCAGGUCAUAGUGAUCCGGUGGUUCUGAAUGGAAGGGCCAUCGCUCAACGGAUAAAAGGUACUCCGGGGAUAACAGGCUGAUACCGCCCAAGAGUUCAUAUCGACGGCGGUGUUUGGCACCUCGAUGUCGGCUCAUCACAUCCUGGGGCUGAAGUAGGUCCCAAGGGUAUGGCUGUUCGCCAUUUAAAGUGGUACGCGAGCUGGGUUUAGAACGUCGUGAGACAGUUCGGUCCCUAUCUGCCGUGGGCGCUGGAGAACUGAGGGGGGCUGCUCCUAGUACGAGAGGACCGGAGUGGACGCAUCACUGGUGUUCGGGUUGUCAUGCCAAUGGCACUGCCCGGUAGCUAAAUGCGGAAGAGAUAAGUGCUGAAAGCAUCUAAGCACGAAACUUGCCCCGAGAUGAGUUCUCCCUGAGACUUUAAGUCUCCUGAAGGAACGUUGAAGACGACGACGUUGAUAGGCCGGGUGUGUAAGCGCAGCGAUGCGUUGAGCUAACCGGUACUAAUGAACCGUGAGGCUUAACCUU
rnacentral:rRNA from 2 species